AUCCAACUAACGAGUUCCAAAUAGGACAAAACGCGCUUCCUGGAU
rnacentral:hammerhead_ribozyme from 1 species